ACGACUCUCGGCAACGGAUAUCUCGGCUCUCGCAUCGAUGAAGAACGUAGCGAAAUGCGAUACCUGGUGUGAAUUGCAGAAUCCCGCGAACCAUCGAGUCUUUGAACGCGAGUUGCGCCCGAGGCCACUCGGCCGAGGGCACGCCUGCCUAGGCGUCACGC
rnacentral:rRNA from 1 species